CUUCAUCUUCUGCUCAAGACUUUUGAGGGAUGACUUGCACAAUGUAACCACAUGCUAUGCAAUAUGCAAUGCCUAAUGACCUAAAAAUGUUAUGCAAAUAUGUUAAGCUAGUCCCAAGAGAGGAGGGCAAAUUUUGAGGUGUUACAAUUAUUUAUUUAUGUUUUUUGUGAUUACCAUUUUCAGAAUAAAGCAAAAAGUAAAAACAAAACAUCAUAGAUGUGGAUGAAUAGAAUUAAUUUUAUUGAUGAUCAAAUUUGAAAUGCCUAAAAAUGUUCACUUCCCACUUAGGCAUAGGAGAAGGAUUUUUUUAAAAUAAAUAAAAACAAUUACUUAGAUCGAUGCAAAAUAACAGGAAUAUCAACAACAGUCCAAUUGUUGCAAGCCUUUCCAUGCGUCAUAAAAUUGGUGCAGCCAUCUUUAUCGUUACCCUCUAGCACUGCAGCUAAGUGUUGUUCAUUGCCAUGAAUGAACCCUCCGCUACGGAAGCUAAGUUGCAUAUCCUCUGAUCUAGCAGUUGAUGAACCUUGUAGAAAACCCAAACCGGUUCUAUUCUUAUUGACGGAGACCUCUACCAUGCACUCCCACUGAUCCAUAUUACCUUCUUCAACAAUCUUCAGCAAUAGAUAAGGCUUGGAAUGGAGUUCCAAUCUCAUCCUCAGCUUCAACGUAAGAGAAAGAUGACAGGUGGUUAACCAACAUCGCCUUUUCCCCGCCAACAAUAACAAGCUUCCCAUUUUGGAUAAAUUUGAGUUUCUAAUGCAACGUGGAGGUAACAGCUCCCGCCUCAUGAAUCCAUGGCCUUCCCAACAGACAACUGUAGGCCGGGUGGAUAUCCAUUACUUGAAAAGUAAUCUGGAAGUCACUCGGACCUAUCUUCACUGGAAGGUCCACUUCACUUAUCACUGUCUUGCGUGAACCGUCAAAAGCUUUGACGAUUACACCAUUAUACCUCAUAGGUGCUCCUUGAUAUGACAUCUUUGAAAGAGUUGACUUUGGCAGCAUGUUUAACAAAGACCCGGUGUCAACUAAUACAUUGGAUAAAGCGUUAUCUUUGCAAUUCAAUGAGAUAUGCAAAGCCAAGUUAUGAUUCCUACCCUCCUCAGGGAGUUCUUCAUCACAGAAAUUGAGAUUGUUGCCGGAAGUGAUGUUAGCCACAAUAUGAUCGAACUGAUCCACCGUAACAUCAUGUUCCACGAAAGCUUGCUCUAGAACCCUUUGUAGUGCUUCUCUGUGCGCUUUUGAAUUCAUAAGCAGAGACAGUACUGAAAUCUUCAAGGGGGUUUGGAGCAACUGCUCCACCAUGUUGAACUCACUUUUCUUUAUCAUCCUAAGUACCUCAUCAUCAUCAUUAGUCUUUAAAUUACUGGAUUCACCAGACUGGCGCUUUGAAGUGCUAAUUGGAUCUACUGCAGGUACUUCCACCUUCUUACCAAUUGUUGAAUCUUCUACAUCUUUUGGGAACACCGGCCCGAACACUCGACCGCUACGAGUCACCUUAGUAACAUCAACAAUGCUCACGACAGAACUGGUUGUAGGUAACGGGACCUCUUGACCAUCCUUUAACAUAGUUGCAUUAUACUGAUACGGAACAACCUUAUAUGAUGAAUACGGGACUGGGCCCGCUAACCGUAUGACCAACAACGAUACCGAUCUUUGACUUAUAUUGUUAUUGUUAAUGCUAUCAUACUGAAUCACCACCCUCUUGGGAUUCUUAAAUACUAGAAUGAUCAUAUUCACAUCGUUUUCUUCAUGACGGGAUUGAACAAUCUGUAUCAUACCCUCAUCCAUCAACCGCUGGAUGUCUCUUUUCACAAUCAUACAACCCCUCGGGUUGACGCUGCAGAUAGCACAACCAUCAUGGUCAUGCUCACAAUCGUUUACCAUACAAAUUUCCUUAUGCAUCGUCACCAAAGGCCUUCUGAUGAAACGACCAUCAAACACUUUGAACUCCCCAGGACAGUCGUCUACCAUAUUAACAAAUGAAUUUCCAUGGGCUGGCAGUGGGUUUGCUUUCACAUUAGGUGCACGAUCCUUAAAGGACACCAUUCCACUCUUCACUAGCUUCUGAACUUCAUAUUUGAGCGGGUAGCAGUUCUCAAUGUCAUGUCCGGGUGCUCCUUGAUGAAAAACACAACGGAGGUUAGGUUUGUACCACCAUGGAAGUGGUUCAUGAAUUUGUGGCGGAUUUCUGGAUUGUAGCAAGUUCUUGAGAACCAAUGACGGAUAAAGUUCUGCAUAUGUCAUAGGAAUUGGGUUGAAAGAGACCUUCUUCCUCUCAAAAGUUUGUUGCUGAUGAUUGUUGGUAUUGUUGUUGUUGUAGAUGUUUGCUCAUUGUUGUGGUUGUUGUUGUUGAUGUUGUUGUUGUUGAAUUGGUGUUGAUUGACUUGCGGAAAAUAUAGGAAUUACAGAAGAUACUUGAUGAUGUUGACGGGGUGGUUGCUUCUUCUAGUCUGAGGCCUCCUCUGCCUCCCACUAAUGAUAGUGUUAGCUUCAUUGUCCUUCUUCUUACCAAAACUACCACCGUAUCUCUUACUAGAUGAUACCUCCUCCUUCAACAACCGUCCUUCUCGGACACCUUCUUCAAGCCUCAUCCACAUAUUUACCAUUCCGGUAAAGUCACUAGGGCACCGGCGAUCAUCUUCUCAUAAUAAAAUGAGCUAAGGGUCUUUAAAAAUAUCUUGGUCAUCUCCUUUUCCUCUAAAGGAGGGGUGAUCUGAGCAGCGAGCUCUCUCCAUCUCUGCGCGUACUCCUUAAACGUUUCCUUGUCCUUCUGAGAUAGUGAUCUCAACUGAUCUCGUUCGGGAGCCAUAUCAACAUUAUACUUGUACUGCUUAACAAAUGCUUCUCCCAAAUCAUUGAAAGUGUGAAUGCUUGCACUAUCCAACCCCAUAUACCAUCUUAGCGCAGCGCCGGUCAGACUGUCUUGGAAGUAGUGGGUUAACAGCUGAUCGUUGUCUAUUUUGGUAGACAUCUUAUGGGCAUACAUCACCAAAUGACUGAGCGAACAUGUGUUCCCUUUGUAUUUUUCAAAGUUAGGCACUUUGAACUUCACUGGAAUCUUCACAUUUGGCACCAGACAUAAUUCAACAACACUCUUCCCAAAAAGGUCCUUACCUCUCAAAGUCUUCAACUCCUUGCGCAACUCAAUAAAUUGAUCUUUCAUCUCAUCCAUUUUCUCAUAAACGUCCGGACCCUCAGAUGGCUCGGAAUGAUAAAUGGUGUCUUCUACGCGAGGUAAGGUGAGCACUACAGGCGGUGGUACAGACAUGACCGGGCUAGAUGCCGGCAUAGAAGCAAAAGUAGGCACAAAGCCUUCAGGCAUGAAGUUCGGUGGCAUUCCCCACGGGAAUCCGGCAGGCAUAACAUGUGCAAAAUGAGCGGUAGCAGCAGGCAUGGUAGAGGUAGCCACCUCUGAAAUGACAGUCCUCUGAGGAGGAGGAGUUACGGGCGUUGGAGAAGACUGGCUAUGUGCAGCUAGAACUGACUCCAUCAUGGCAGUCAGGCGGGUGAUCUCGUCCUUCAGCUCUCUAUUCUCUUGCUCAAGAUGUUCCAUAAUUCUGGAGUGAUUGGCGCGAGUGUUGUACCGAUGAGUCAGCUUGGCUGAAGUACAAAAGAAACACCAAUGAGACAUCUGGCGAAAGAGAAACUUGCUUAUGCAAAUGAUGCAUGAAAUGCAAUGCUCAUUUAUUCAUUUUUAUUAUUUUCAAGGAACUUAAUAUAUCAUUUGCAAAUAUAUAUAUAUUUAACAAUAAUUGCAAUAAUUUGAUAUGACCAAAAAUCUCUUUUCAUUUAUAUCAAUUGGAAGGAUUACACUGAGUACAAUUUCAGAAACCAAAUGAAAAAUACAAGAGAAAAGGAGACUAGUCAUCCUAAGGAUCCCUAACAACAAUGUCAGAAGAUCUGAAUGCAGGUGCGUACUUCCUUCGAAUGCGUCGAAUCUCGGUCUCAAAAGAAGCCUUCAUCUGAGUUUUCUCGAGGAUAAACUGAUCAACAAUCUUCUUCUAAGCGACGGAAGGCCGAGGCAUACUAGAGGAAGAUGAAAUUUCUUGUUCUCUCUGUCUCUUUGUCACUUGGUCUUCAAGAAGCUUAAUAAGUGCAUAUUUGUCCUUGGACUCCUCAUGCUUUUUGCUCAAAGCACGAAAACACUCUUCCCACAUAUCCUUCUCUUGCUUCAUCUUGGCGAGCGCAUCUUCCAACUCCUCUGCAUCUUUAUUAGGGAGAGUUUAUGGCUCAACCACAACCAUAAACACAUGUCUUUCACAAGGAUAAGGCAUCUUCAACUCUAAAGCUCUCUUCUUCACCCAAAGAGUGUAAGCUUCCAAAGCUACACAAUUGCACAGACCAAGCUCGAACCUUCCUUUCCUAUGCACAUUAUACCAAGCAUGCAUAAUCUUCUACUUCAAAUGUUGGGGAUCUUUACCCUCUUGAUAUAAAAGACCUUCUAACAAAGUGUUAUUAGGUUUGUCUCUCAAGGGGAACCCAAGUUGACGACGAGCCAAAGCAGGGUUGUAGUUAAUUCCUAGGGGAUCUUUACCCUCUUGAUAUAAAAGACCUUCUAACAAAGUGUUAUUAGGUUUGUCUCUCAAGGGGAACCCAAGUUGACGACGAGCCAAAGCAGGGUUGUAGUUAAUUCCUCCUUGUGUACCAAUCAGAGGCACAUUAGAGAAUUCACCACAACUAUCAAUAAUCUCCAAACUUCUCAAAGAAGGAUCAUACCAAACUAUAUCAUUAUUAGUGAGAGACAUAAGUCUCUGAGACCACCGUAGACAUUGUUUGUUCUCCAUAAAAGUAGGUGUCUGAGGCAAGUGCGAAAUAAACCACUUGUACAGAAGAGGAUAACAACAGAAAAUCGUUCCUCCACCUUUAGAAUUCCUUAAAUGCAAAUAAAAGUACAUAUCACCCAACAGAGUAGGCACAUGAUUCCCAAUCAAGAAAAUCCUAAUGGCGUUAACAUCAAUAAAACCGUCAAUGUUAGGGAACAAAGCUAAUCCAUAAAUGAGUAACACAAAGAUAGCUUCAAAAACGUCCACACUACCGGCUUGAGCAAAGGCAAUAGCUUCCUUUAUGAGGAAACCAGAUGGCAACCCAAACAGUCCUCCUUUCUUCACCCAAUGAGCCUCUAUCUUAGACUUCUUCAAGUGAAGAGCUUCAACAAUAAGAUGAGAUCUUGGAAUCUCUUCCAACCCACUAAAUGGCACUCUACUAGAAAUAGGUAUCCCCAAGAUAUGGGCAUACUCCUCCAACGUAGGCACAAGCUGAUAAUCAGGAAAAGUGAAGCAACGGUAGAGAGGGUCAUAAAACUGAACCAACACACUCAAAAGUCCUUCAACCACAUCAGCAGACAGGAUAGACAAAAGCUUCCCAUGACGUUAUUUGAAGUCCAGGGGAUCUAAUACAAAAGAUGCUAGCUUCCUUAACUCUUUCAAGUCGGGAUGAAUGUCCAUGGUCUGCAAAUAUUUGCAAAUAAUACCUCAGUUCCUUAAAAUUUUCGUGUGAUGAAUGUUAUGAUGCGCAUGAAUGCAUGAAUGCAACAAUCACAAAUAAGAACUCACACGCAAGGCAAACAAACAAAGGUCAAGGGAUGAAUCAAGUCAUUGUCAAGAUCAAUCAUCCAUUUUGGUGGAUUAUGGUUUUCACCUUAUCAACACCCAAGUUCCAUUGAUAUUGAUAAGACUUGAUUGGAUCAACCAAAAAUCAAGUCAUUGUCAAGAUCAAUCAUCCAUUUUGGUGGAUUAUGGUUUUCACCUUAUCAACACCCAAGUUCCAUUGAUAUUGAUAAGACUUGAUUGGAUCAACCAAGAAUCAAGGGUUUGUUGUGAAUCGCGAGCAUGAAGUUUGGGUAAGAACCAUCCCAAAAGAGUGAACUAAGGAUGAAACUUGUAGAUCAUGUUCUAAAAAGUUCCUAGAGUCUUAAUUCUAUCUAUCAGAUAUUACAGGUUAAGAUGACUGACUCAUCGACCCAUAAUAUUCUCAAGAGAAACUCGUCUGAAUGUAGUAUUAGGUAACAAUUGUUAUCAAGUCUACACUUGAACAAUCUCCGCACUACGUCCUAAAUAGGCCAAGAGGGGGUAAAUGUUCUACGGUCCUCAGCUUCUCGGGCCUAGAUUAGAGAUAGUAAUGCCUAAUCAUAAUUACUUGUGUGACAUUUCUAAAUCCAAAAGGGUCUCCACUGAGCAGAUGGAUCUCAAUCCAACUUGUUAAGGACUACUCCCCACAAGUCGAACAGGACUAUACCAUCCUUCUAUCUUAAUUGCACUCAAGUUCGGGUUAGAACUUAUCUCACCACUCAGGGAUCACCAAGCAUAACAAUCAGAUUAUAUCACACAAAUAUACAUAUGUCACAUAUAUACAAUUAUAUACACACAAAAAAGUAGGCUAAACCCACUAGAGACUACUCCCCAGCAGAGUCGCCACUUAAUUUCUGUAGCAGUAAAUUCAUGAUCAUCAAACUAUGGAUAAGCAAGACAUCAAAUAACAAGAGUCGCCACCGCGCUUUUAUUGUUUCCAAGGGAAAAGGGAAAAGUACGAACAAACCCCCAAAAUAAGAAGUUUUCAAAUUAAAACUAAUAAAAUGUCAGAGAUUACAGGUAAGGGGGUUGGUUACACAGAGGGAAGGUGUUAACACCCAAAGUGUCUUAGGUACUCCUAGGGAGCCCUUUCUUGUGUGCAUAUGUAUUUUGUACAAAAUGAUGCUUACAAACAAAUGAAUGUGGGGAUGAGAAAAGAAUUCAUUAAUUAUAUUUUUGUGUUUGACAAGACCUUCGGACUUGUGCCUACGUACCAACAUAAAAAUGAGGGAUCAAAACAUCGUAGUUCGUGAUACAAAUUUCAAAGUGGAUGCAUUGUUUUUAAUCAAAAAUUAAGUUUGAAAGGCACAAUGGCCUAGAAAAUGGUUUGAAUGAGUUAGUUAUUUUUGGCUUUUGAAAAUUUUAAGUCAAGUAUAGUUAAGUUUAUUUACAAGUUUGAUUUAGGAAAAGAAGUUUGAAAAUGCAAUGGCAUAAGGCCAAAGUUUCUAAUUUGCAAAGGGUCUAAGUUUAAAAAAGACAAGUAUAAACAAAGAUUUUUUUUAAAGGAGGGAGAGAUUUUGAAAUUAAAGAGAUGGGGAAGAGAUGAAGAGACUAAUCGUAAGCAUAAAUUUAAAAGUUAAGAGUUGAAAAGAUCUGACCAAUGGGCUGCAAUCCAAUAGACAAGAAUGUCAUAUAGAAACCCAAAUUCCCUUGGACAUUAGAAUCAAGCAACAAAUAAUGCACACAAUAUUAACUUGAAGAGCAAGGCAUCAAAUAAAGAUAGCCACAUCCAAGCUUUAGCCACUCCAUGAUAUUCUUCAAAUUUGCCCAUGUAACAACUGAAUUCCACAAGUCACAGGUUCAAAGUAACAGCUUCACAAUGAUCAUGUUUCAGAUGAACUCAAGGGGAUCUUCAAUGAUGUUUCAAAUGAAGUGUCAAAUUGCAAGCACUUGGUUAUAUGAAAGUUGGCAUUGGCCAAGUCCUUUGCAUAGGGAGUGUUGCCUAAAUUCUAAGUCCAAUUGUCUCAGAUCAAACCAACAGUCUACACAAGAAGUUUCUUAGGGUUUUUAUUCUUAUUAUGUACAUUAAUGGUCAAAGACCACACAAACAAACACAAUAUACACAAGCAAAAUAUAUCACAAAAUAUGGUCCAAAUGGACAAAGUGAAAAUGACAUUAACAUAAACAAUUAGAAUGGUAAUGAAUAAUGGCAAAUGAAUAGAAACUUAAAAAUUAAAGUGCAUUAAAAGUAAAGUACUUGAAAUUAAAUGUUAGUUGUUAAUGAGUUAGAAGUUAGUAUUGCUUUUGCUUUUUUUUGUUAGUCAUUCUUUGGAGAACACUCAACCCACAUUAUCACAAGCAUGGAUCCUUGAACCAAGACAUCUUCCAAAGGAAGGAAAAAAGGCCAAGUUUCUACACAAUACCAUGAAAGAGGGGAGACUUACAAUCUCACUAACUAGAAUGCUAUGCCUUUUGUGUAAAAAAUUUAGCUCUAUGUUAAGCAAUCGUAAUUGGACUUAUGUAGAAGUCAUGACUAUUUGAGGCCGAGCAAUAGAAUUUGAGUGUUAAUGCAUGUUAGAGACAUAGUAUAAUGGACUAUGCUCAUGAAACAUACCACACACAAAAAGAAUGUGCAAAAGAGGUGACCUAAUCUCAUCCAUACUUAUGUUGAUUUUGCAAUCAACUAGCCUUAGGAUAUUGAGAUAUCAUAAGUCAAAUGAAAUGGAUGCAUAAAGAAGGGGAAUUAGAUGAAGAGGGAGGGGAAUAGAUCAAAACUCAAAUUGGACAAAGGAGGAUUUUUACCAAAUUAAGAUCAUUCAUUCAUUUUGGGAGAUGGAAUGUACAUUCCAUCAAUCCCCUAAAUCCAAUGAUCUUAACCUAGCAAAGUCAAAUCAACCUACAUUCAUUCAUUUUGGGAGAUGGAAUGUACAUUCCAUCAAUCCCCUAAAUCCAAUGAUCUUAACCUAGCAAAGUCAAAUCAACCUUGACCAAGGCCCAACAACACAAGUCAAACUUAUACAAACAAUAAAAAUGGCUCAACACAAUUAUUCGGCAUUUAUUCAAAUUAAAAAUAAUGCAUUAAAUUAAAUAUGGUUUGUCAAAUUCCUAAAAUCUCAUCAAAACGCCAAAAAAAAAUGGCCAUGAGAUUUAUCAUAGGUCAAAGGACCUUGGAGGAAAUUUUUUAGAAUUUUUGGAGACUUAAAAGUAUUUUUAAACAAUUUAAAAUAUUCACAAAAUUAAAUAAAUCAUGAAAAAUAUUAAUAAUGAUCCAAAAAUAAUUUUAAUUCAAAAUAUGAAAGAGGAUUUUAUUUGAAUUUUUUUGGUAAAACUCUCAUAUUUUUUAGAUCAAUAUUAAAAUUAAUAUGAAUUAAUGAAAAUAAAACAAAUUAAAUGAAAUUCAAAUAAUCAGAAAAAACAUGGACCACUUGAUCUUCCUCAUUAAUUGAGGUGGUAGAUCAACUGGACUAAAACGCGCGUUCCACCAAACACACGAGCCAGCGCGCCUCACCAUUGGGAUUCAAAAGCAACGCUCAAUAUUAAAAUGAUUUGAACUGAUCAUGUGGCUCAUAACCUAUCCAGCACACCACCGACGCUGAAACUUCGGUCACCUUCUCAGGCGAGGCUCACCGGACUGGUUCAGUCAUCACCAUCACAUAAAUGAAAAAGGAGGACAUGAUCUGAAAGAAAAAAUGGCGUAGAGCACGAAUCUGGCCUCAAUUUUAACUAACUCCACAUAUAUAGAAAGAUAUGGGGAGUUGAAUUUUGAGGUGUGUCAACUGAGUUGCUUCAAUUUGACCUCAAAGCAACUCAAUCUUCUUGCCUACAUUGGUAGGACUUCAGACAACCAAAGAUCCAAGAGAAUUGAUGAGAAUUGAGUGAUUGAGGUGUGUCAACUGAGUUGCUUCAAUUUGACCUCAAAGCAACUCAAUCUUCUUGCCUACAUUGGUAGGACUUCAGACAACCAAAGAUCCAAGAGAAUUGAUGAGAAUUGAGUGAGAAUCAAAGAGAAGAAAAUUUCUAGAAAAUACCUUCAAUGUUGUGCAGAACUGGAUCUUGCUUGCUUCAAACUUUGCUUGAUCACCUUUAGAAAGCUUGUAGAAGUGGCUUGGCAAUGGAACAAAGCUCUGGAUCCUGGAGUUUUUGAAUCUCUAAAUAGUGAGAUUCAAACUCAAUUUUCAGAUUGAAAAUUCUCAUGUUUUCCUUUGAAUUGUGAGGGUUUGAAAAGAGGGGGCAAAGCUGGCGCGCAAGGGAUCCCACAAAUGAGCUCAAAGGCCUUGUAUUUAUAGCAUGAGGGAGUGAUAUUUGUACAUUUGAAAAUGUUUCCAAAUUUGGCAAUUGCAUGAUGCAAGCUUGCAUGGGCGUGUACAGACCCACUAAGUAAUCCAUUUAGGUCCAAAUGUAUCUGAAAUGAGAUUGAAAUGAAGCUUGAAUGGCAAGGCAAUGUGAAAUGGUGUUUUGGACAUUUGAUCUUUCCACUUGAUGCAGACCUGUUAAGACCAUGUGCAUCCCUAACAAACCUCAUCCAAAAUGCAUUAAUUAGGACUCUUUAGAAAGCUUAGGUCAAGGGGAACAACUUUGAUGUUGAACACUUUUACAUUUGGAACUUGGAUCAAUGUGAAUUUUGAGGUGGAAGUUUGGAAAUUUCAACAUGUUGAAAUUUUUUCUAAGUGUCAAGUCAUAUAUCUCAAUGUUCCACCUUACAUAACUUUUCAUGUGAGCUCCAAAUGAAAAAAAUGUAUUCACAAAAUUUGUAGCUCUUUUAAAGACAUUCAAAUGGUCACAAAUUUCAUGUCAUUUGGAUUUAGAAUGAUAGAGUUGUGCAUUUUUGAAGUUGAGGAAAAUCACUUGUUCAAUGGUAUUGGUCCAAAAUGACCUAUAAUGUAUCCUCAUAUCACAUGCUCAUAAAAGUUGAAUGAGCUCUCACUCCAAAAAUCAAAGUUGAAGUAGACAUCUUGAAUUUGAUUUUGCAACUUGGAAAUAUUUAAUUUCAUAAAAAUUGAGCAAGUUAUGGCCUUGGGAAGUUGACUUUCAAAUUAGGGUUUAGACAAAAUGACCUAUAAUGUUUCAACAUAGAAAAUGAUUUUCCAAGCAAAAAUAGCUCUAGGUCUCAAAAAGUUGACUUUCAAAUUAGGGUUUAGACAAAAUGACCUAUAAUGUUUCAACAUAGAAAAUGAUUUUCCAAGCAAAAAUAGCUCUAGGUCUCAACAUUAAAGUUGUUUGGAAUGUCAUUUAGAGUAACUUUUCUCUUGGAAUCAUUUUCAUAUGGUGAAAAUUCUAGGAGAUAGGGUCUAGGGAGACCCAAUUUUGAUCAGAUGAAUUCAUCUGGCCAACCACCAUCUACCAACUUGCUAACUUCCAAUUCUCUUGACUUUUUAGGCUCAUUGUAGAUCAUAUAUGCAUAAGAUGAUGAAAUUUGAAUUGUCCCUUGAUAAAUUUGAUCAAUUGGUGAGGAAGCUUGUUGAAGAAGUUACUCAAGAUACCCAGACAAACUAGGGUUUCCAAGGCAAACUACCUCAAAACUCUUGAAGAAUACUUGAUCAAAAUAACAUAUAAUGAUCACGAGGACUCAUAUAUGAUGCUUUGAGACAUUUUGGAUCCAUACUUGAUUAUUCUUUUAGCCAUGAGGGUCUUAAACCCUAUAUAUGAGCUUGCUAGAUCAAUGGGGAUCAUGCCCUACCUACAAAAGAGUUAGGCAAAUGCAAAGACAUAUUUUUGGUAUUUUGGUUAGUAAAAUGAUAAGAGCUUGCUAGAUCAAUGGGGAUCAUGCCCUACCUACAAAAGAGUUAGGCAAAUGCAAAGACAUAUUUUUGGUAUUUUGGUUAGUAAAAUGAUAAUAUACAAGUAUGAUACAAUCACAUGGUGCUUGGUGAUCUCUUCCAAAACAAACCCAAUGAAAGAGGGGUAAGGAGGAUGCCAAUGUAUGAUCCCAAUGCUAAUGCAUAUGUUGAAGUUGCAUGAGGGAUCUUAGGGUCAAAAUUGGGGUCUUACAAUAAGUAUCUUUCCCCAGCCAACCCUACAUCUAGGAUUCUCGACACGGGUCAAAGAUGCUUAUCUCACACUUUGACAUACGCAUGAACUUCGAAUUCUAAGAGAUAACAUCCAUCUUAAGAAUCAUCGCUUCCAAUGGGAAUCUAAACCCAUUUCAAGCCUUUUAACCAUAUGGGAUUUCCCUCCAUCAUGAAAUCCACCACUUUUGGGAUUCAAACCUAUGUCAUUCAAGUAUAGGUGUUUACUUCCCAAUUCUUACUCUAUAUGAGCAUCUCAACUUGGAAUGGCACAAUAAAGGGGUUGUUUCUGACUACGUGAUUAGAUAGAAAAACAACGUGAUUAUAUUUAACAAUCACAAGGUGAUCAUAUUCACCAAUUCUCAUAAUAACAAAUCAUGUUCCAUACAAAGCAUAUUGGUUCAUGACUAAACUAUAAAACUAGCGGCUACUCAUCAACGAUACAUACCAAGGUACCCAUGCAUCCAAGCAUCACCGUCUAAGUUAUUCUCAUAACCUAAGUUGUCUUUCUAGUUCAUUCACCUAAUUAUAACCCUAGGUUUCUUCACUCAUCUUCAUAAGGUUUUAAUCAUGUUAUUUCACAUUCAACGUAACAACAACGUUUAACAUACAUCAUAAUAUGAUCCAUAGCAUUCAUAAGGCACACAAUGAAUUAAAUCAUGGUACAAAAAUAAUAGUCUUUUACGUUAUCUUUCUAACGCAUUUGUCCGUGUCAAAAACGGAGUUACAACACUCAAGUAAUCUAACAAUCUGACUUAAUCAAGAUUUAGGUUAACACUUAUUCAUUGCACAAGCAUUCAACAACAAAAGCCUUGGUCUAGUGGUAAGGCUUGUACCAUGACAAAGAGGUCCUGGGUUUAACCCCCAUUGGUGGCAUAUUUUCAUUUUUCAAGGAAUUAAUUCAUGUCGAUUGAUUGGCAAAAAGGAAUAAUAUAUUGAAUGGGAUAAAUUCUCAUAAAAUGCACUAAACAAAGUGAUUGAAUGGUGGAAUAAAUUAAUUGGUUGGACUAUUCUUAUUUCCAAACUUGCAUAAUUUCUCCUAAUAACAUGGAAUUUCAUCUACCAUUUUCACAUAACAUGAUUCUUCAACAACAAAUAAACAUUCCAUGAUUUCUCAAUAUUAUGAACACAGUUUCAUAACAACAACAACUAUGUUCAAUCACAAACAACACCAUAAUCAUAGAAAACAUGGUUAACUCAUGGUUCAUGGAAAGUUUCAUGAUUAACCUAGAAUAUUUAUCAUGAUAUCAUGAACUCACUCACUAUUAUAUGAUUCAAGACAACAAUGCCAAACCAUAGUCUUCUACCUCAUGAGAAACCUACUAUAUAGAAGAAACUAACUAGAACUCACCUUAUUGAAUAAGAAGACGAUGGUGAUGAUGAAGAUGGUGAACAUCCAUGAGCUUUUUCCCUUAUUCUUCCUUCCAUCCUCUUCUUUUCUUCUUUCCCCUUCUUCACGUUUUUUCUUUCUCCCUUUUUCCCGAUAACUCUUCUUUUCCUUUUUUGUUCUUAUCCCUAAUCCUCUAUUACUUUUCUACCACACAAUUCCUUUACCUCUUCUCCACCAUAUAUAUAUAUAAUAGGUGUUGUCCAUAUUUAUCUAUUUUCUUUAUCCCUGUCAAACUUCUCGUAAUAUAAGCAAAAUGAUCAUAUGAAUAUGUCAGAGUAGGGAUCAUGAACCCUAAGUCAUGUUUAUCUGAGAAUAUUUCAAGUGAUUUUUAUUUAAGUUGUUUUUUCCAAAAGUGCUUUUCUAUUUAAGCAUUUUAUAAAACACCAAUUUUUAAUCGCUCCAUAUAUACACCGAUAGAACAAAAAUUGGUAAUCAAACCUUUGGUCUCUGUGGUCUGAUAACUCUUUUUACUACUUCAAAAAGUCGUACACUUGCGGCGUGUCAUCUUGUUGGCUGAGUUUUAAAUUUAUGAAAUGGAUUUUAAAUAAACUUUUCUUAACGACUAUAGAAACGAAAAAGUCUAUGUCUCUCAACCUCUUACUUUUGAUAACAUCGAAAACUCAGACUAUGUUUUCAAACUAAAAAGAGCACUCUAUGGUCUCAAACAAGUUCCUAGAGUUUGCUAUGAGCGCCUUAGUGGAUUUUUAAUCAAACAAGGAUUUAGUCGUGGAAAAAUGGACACAACUUUGUUUAUUAGACAUAAAGUAAAUCAUAUUAUUUUAGUUCAAAUUUACGUCGAUGAUAUUAUAUUUGGGUUUACUCAUGAAUCCCAUUGCAAGGAGUUUGCUAGUUUGAUACAUGGUGAGUUUGAAAUGCCUAUAAUGGGAGAGCUUACCUACUUCCUUGGAUUUCAAAUGAAACAAGCGGAAGAUGUAACUUUCAUAAGCUAAAGGAAGUAUUGCUUGGAGGUUCUAAAGAAGUUCAAUAUGAAAAAUUUGAAGAGCAUCCUAAUCUCUAUGGCGUCAAAUAUGCUGAUAGACAAAGAUGAGAAUGGGGUAAAGAUUGAAAUUUCCAAAUAUAGAUGUAUAAUAUGAUUCUUACUCCAUUUAACUGCGAGCAAGCCAAAUAUUAUGUUUAGUGUGUUUUAAGAUCGUAAAAAGAAUUUUAAGGUAUCCUAAUAUAACUUCCCAACAUAGUCUUUGGUUUCCUAAAUGACGUUAGUGUAUUUUAGUAUGUUUUUUUUAUUAUGAUUUUGCUGGUUGUAAAUCGGAUAGGAAAAUCACUAGUGGUACUUGUCAUUUGUUUGUAAAUUGUUUGGUUUCUUGGUACAGUGAAAAGCAGCAUGACAUUGCUCUUUCUACCGUCGAGGCUGAAUAUAUAUUCACUAGUAAUCGUUAUGCACAAGUCUUAUGGAUAAAGCAAUAAUUAUUGGAUUACGAUUAAAAACUCGAUUACGUUCCAAUCAAAUGCGACAAAACUAGAACAAUAAGCCUUACUAAGAAUCAUGUACUUCAUUCACAUACUAAACAUAUAAAAAUACAACGCCAUUUCCUUAGGGUUCAUGUUGAAAACGGUGACGUUAUCUUUGAAUAUAUGGAUACGAAAAAUCAACUUGUUGAUAUCUUUAUAAAAUAGCUAUCCUUUGAACCUUUUCACAAUAUACAUAGGGAAUUGGGAAUCCUGGAUUCUUCGUGUUUUAAAUAUAUUUAGAUUCCUAUUUCAUUUCAUUUGAUAUAUGUAUUAUGUUGUACACUAACAUUUUCUUAUAGAAUUUUACUUUAACCAACCGUAUUGGUAUAUUUCUAUAACUCUUUUAUAUUCUUGUAUCCUUGUUUGUAUUUUGUUUUAUAUAUGUGUUUGCCUUUGUUUUUAGUAAAUCAAAUCACAAGUUUUUGCGCACUUAAGGUACUAAACUUUAAAAAAAAAAUCUUUGGAUGAUUUGUGCACAAGAUUUGAGAAAGUAUGUUUGUGCUUGGGUAUUUGAUGUUCGAAUGUAAAGAAAUUGGGUAGAAAUCCCAAUAAGAACAUUGUAUAAUUGUUCUAAGAACUAAAGUGAAACAAAGAAAAACAAUAAAAGGAAUUAAAUAAAAUGUUAUGAUUAAAGAAUUAAAAGAGGGAUGCAAAUUCAUACAUGUUCUCUCACAAACUAUUUUCUCCAUGUGACUUGGAUACUCGAGUUCUAUAGAGAUUACUAAUAAAAAUUACAAACCACUGUUACGUGAAUGAAAUCUGCUUACAUACUCUAUUUUUCAUAACUUUCAAUAACAAUAUACUCUUCAGCACUCGACACAUACACCAUUACGUGACAUUCUAUCCUCUAUUUCGCUUCCAUGUGUUGGUCUUAGAAAUUGCAUCUAAACUGCUCUUGUUGAGGAACUUCUUAGUCGAAUCUUGUAUCAUGGUGUCAAAAAGUCUCUAGGUCACCCAAUCCUUGGACUCAAGAAUAUGUCAAGUCUCAAAAUAUCUGAUAGGUGAGUCGAUAUCUGUAGGUGUUUAAUUGGCUGCAUUAUAUGGUAAAACACUAGUUGGUUACAAAUGUCUUGACUGAUGUCAUGACAUAGUAUGUAUGUGUGACUACAUUAUAGGUUAGAAUAUCUAACUGUACUCUGAUGUCUUGACUGAUGUCAUGACACACUUGAGUAGUUACUGCAGGAUUAGCUAACACAGGAGUUAUUGAAUGUCAAACUGGAUGCUGUGACAUUCAUACCUGCCUGUCAACAGAAUACCUAAGAAGUUAGAAAGGCUGGAUGUUCUGUUAGACUUAGUUUUAUUUCCAGUCUUGGUUAUCAAGGAAAGACCAGACCUGGCAUAAGGCUCCUGAUUGAAUGUCAAAUUGGAUGUUAUGACAUUAUCACUGACAGCAGCUAUUGAAUAUUAGACAAAGUGAUGUUCUGGCUAUACUUCAGAUGUAACUUAGUUUGUUCUUCAAGAGAAUAACAGAAUUAACUUAAGGCCAAAUGUGUAAAUGUUAAGUUGGACACUUUAACAUUUACUAAUGUAAGUUGUUACUGUAGUAUGGUCAUUUUGAUCAUGUACACGGUCAGCAAAUUGUACAGUCCUGUUUUUCUGGAAAAAGACUAUCAGCAUAUGGACCUUGAUGUCGAGCUGAAUGUCGUGACAUUCAUUCCUGACAGCAUAUGCUAUAUGUGGUUGUUUCAGUUUUCUGUUUCAGCUUUUCUUGGGCUAUUCUUCAGGAAGUCACAGCUUAGAGAAAACCAGGAAACCAACAACGCAGCUACAUUUAAUGAACCUAACAAAUAGCGCUAUUUGUUAGUAACCUAAAUGUUGAAUUUAUGGGAACUCGUGUGACCUUAAAUUCAGAGAAUACUGAAGGUGAGAAAAACAAGAAAGGGGGUUUGAAUUAUUUUGAAAAUAAGCGCUUUUUUAAAAAGAAAAUCACACAAGGAUUUUAUACUGGUUCGCUUAUAACACAAAGCUACUCCAGUCCACCCGGCCAAGGUGAUUUUGCCUUCAAUAAGGACUUAAUCCACUAAUCUUGAAAGAUUGAUUACAGACAACGUCUAAGAGAAAGAUCUUUAGUCUCUAAAGUAUACAGACUGCACAGAGUCACUUGAGGAAAUACAACAAAGAUGAAAACUUAUGUAAUCUAGGUGCUUCUAAGAUAAGCAAAUAUUACAACAUUAAGAACAAAGUGUUUCACGUACUAAGCAAAAGCUUCGUGAAGAUUGAGAGAAUAAAACGUUUUUAUGUGUGUUGUGUUUCAGUAAAAUCUUGUAAUGUUGUACUUGUGCUCUCAAUGUGAUUUGCAGUCCUUUAUAUAGAAGAGAAGGAUCCGUUGAAAAAUCAUAGCAGAUAAUGACUCUUGAAUAAUAAUUAGUGCCAUAACUUAUGUUGCUUGUUGCCAAAGCAACUUUCUUCUCUUGAAUGACUACUUUCUCAAAAUAGUUCCUUUUUCAUUUGAAUUUGGAGUUAACGUCUCUUCUGUAUUAGGAAGUCCCAUUUCCAUAACUUUAUUUGAAGUUAACGUUACUCUUCCUUAUUUUAGCAAUUCCAUAAUCAGAGUCUUCGUGUUUUCUGGAAAUUGGAACUUACUAUCUAACUUCUGAUGUUGAUGCUCUUUUGAGUUCUGAUGGUUUCUUCAGAUAGCGCUGAGAACUUCUGGAGUUUGACAUAUCCGUUGUUCAGAGUCAGAACUUCUAGAGCGUACUUCUUGUUCAGAUGCUUCUGAUAUUUUGCUGUUUUGCUCAGAGUUAGACUUUCUUGAAUCGUGUUUUCUACUUCAGAUGCUUCUGGUCUUCUGAUAAUUUGUAUCUGAUAUGAUUAUGUAUCUGAUGAUUUCUUCCUUCUUUCCUUAGAACGCUGCACACUUAGAACUUUUCGUUAGGGUGCAUUUUUGGUUUCAUCCUUGUUUCAUCAAAAUCAUGGAAUCUGUUGUAGAACAUUUUUGUUCUUACAAUCUCCCCCUUUUUGAUGAUGACAAAACAAACUUAAUUAGCAGAUGAAAUAAAACAAUAUCAGAUCAGAUAGACAAGAGCUCCCUGAGAUAGGCUAGGGAGUUCUAGAAGUUCUUACCAGAGCUUCCAAGCAAUGAGGUUUCUUGAUAGCCUUCUGCAAUUUCUUAAGUCUAGAGUUAGAUAAAUUUAUUUUUAGAAAAAUAUGUUGCAGAGUGCUUAAGGUAUUUAGACAGUAUUUUCAUCAGAGCGUAUUAUGACUUCUCCCCCUUUUUGUCAGAAUCAAAAAGACAUAGAAAAAUAAUUUCAAAGAGAAAAACUUGUAUUCAUAGAAAAAGCAAUAGAGGCAAAAGGAACAAAACAUCAGAAACAAGGAAAGCAAAGCAACAAAAAAAAUCCUAAGUGCUAAGGGUUGGGAGGGCGGAGGCAUUCUCUGAAGCAAUUGAGCCAGCAUGUCUGAAUGUUUUGUUGUACAGAGUCUUGUUUAUCCAUUCUGGCACGGAGUUCCUUUCUGAUCUUGCUUAAGUUCUUCCAGGUCUGGAGAACCAUAGGGAUAACAGAUGAGGACUCCCCUGAGUCAGAGCCUGCUGUGCUUCAGCAGCGGCCUUUGCUUCAGCUUCAGCAGCAGCUUGUGUUCAGCUUCGCAGCAGCAGCAGCAUCAGCCAGAGCUUUGCUUCAGCUUCCUUUGCCCUUUCUUCUCUAGCCUUCUGGCUUCCUCUUCAGCUUCUUCUUGGCUAGUCUCUCUUUCCUCGCAGCUUCUGGCUUCAGCCUCUCUUGCAAGUCUUUCCUGGAGUCCUUGCCUCAGCAUCUCUGAUGUAGCCAUUUCUGACUUGUUCAGAGAUGUUCUUCAGUCUAAAAGCCUCAGAGGUCAUCCAGCCAAUGCCUCUAUUCAGUGUGUCCUUACGAGUCAGGAUCAUCACUGACUUCAGAGUUAAUGGUCAGAGACUUGACCUUUUGUACUGAAGCCCCUGCGACCAGAUUAUGGCUUCCUCAAGGUAGGUACAAGAAAGGUUAGGUUUCAAGGUUUGAGGUGAAGAGGUUGGAGGGCUGAGAUUUAAUGUUAGAGGUUCAGGUUCAGGUUCAGCUUCAGGUUCAGGUUAGGUUCAACUGAGGUGUUUGGAAGGGGUGAUAUCAAAGGUGUAGAGGUCAGAGGGUUGAGUUUCAGAGGUUCGGUCUUCAGAAGGGAUGUUGGUUGUUUUUGUUCUGGGAGGUGAAGUUGCUUCAGAUUCAAGUGGAGGUUGUUUGUGGUUGUUGAGAGUUGUGGUUUAGAGCCUGAAGUUGGCUAAGGUGUGGAGAGGCUAGGGUCAGAGUUUUCUGGAUGCUGAGGAGAGAAAUAGGUAUGGAGGUGAUUCUGGGGCUGAAGAUGAAGAGGAACUGGUUUGGUUCAUUUCUUCAGGCUUCAGAUAAAGGUAGUGUUGUAUGGGCAAGAUUAAAUUUUGGUUGAGGUUGUGAGGUUCUGGUUGUAGAGGUGGGGUUUCAGAGGUUGUGUAUAUGGGUGGUGUUGGAGAGGAUUAGAAGAAGCCAUAAUUUGUUUCAGAGGGAAUAGAGGGCGCAGACGUACCAGUAGUUUCUUGCAGAGGCGCUGGAGAUCUUACUUCAGAGUUUCUCUAGAGGGAUGUAGGAUCUUCUCCAGAUGAUCUAGCAACCCAUUCUCAAUGAAAACAUCAGAUAUGAGCCUUCCAGCAGAGGAUGGUAGGAUCUGGGUUUCAAUGUUGUUUCUUGUCUCCCUUACAGAGUCUCUGAGAUAUAUGAAGAGAAGUGCAGGAAGGCAGAGCUUUACACCCUUGUGAAUGCAAUAAAGAAUGCACUUCUGAUCUGCAUUGAUGUAGUCAGAGGAGUUUGAUGCUGGGCGAUGAUGAAUGGUUCCCAGAUGAUCUUGAGCCAUACUUCCUGAGGGUUCUGAUGAAGCUCUUUGUUUCUUUGAAGGAUUCCUUCAGUGUUGAGUUUGAAGAUGGUUGAUUGAUUUCUUCAGCAAUGCGCUUGGACCUAGGGUUGAUGUUGUAAAUCGCUUUUUUCCUCCCAGUUUUUCUCCAUGUUUGUAAAGAAGCAAUUGACUUUUCAGAUAUCACUAUCUUUAACCCCCAGUACGAAAGAGACGAUGAAAUGGUCAUCAGGCAUCAGCAAAUCUCCAGAAUCUUUGAUGAGAUUUGGGUAAGACAGAGGCCAUAAAGGCUUUGGACAGUAGUUUUCCCACCCUUGUAUACGGAGUUCUUCAGUAAGAUAUCUAUUCCAUUUCUCCUACAUGUUGUCGAGUCCACCAGUGUUUUCACACUACCAUCCAGUCCGCUCAAAGGAGUUGCUAGGUUUAUAUGAGGUUUGAGAUCACAGAUAUGGGGUUCCUUGUACACUGGAGUAAUGUGGAACGCCUGUAACAGUUGGAGUUGGAAUGCUCUUGAACUUUGGGCAGUGGUGUUGGAUUCCAUUUGCUCGAGAAAAGUUAAAAACUCUGUCUGUUGUUGAGCAUCCAUAGGUUGAAUGAGAUGAAAGGUGAAGAUGAAGAAGUUUGUAGAAAUGCUUCAGCGAGGGUUUUUGAGAGUGACGUGAGAGUGAUAAGUGUGGUUGGACAAUGUGAGAAAGUGUUUAAUCGCCUAAUGAAAACACAAUGUCAAACAACACACUAUUCAGCGUUUAUGCGCACAAAGCAACAAGUUAGCACGCUUGGGGAAAAAUGAUUUAAGGCUCAUUAUGAAUGUCUAAUCCCAACAGUAUGCACACUGCUCGAGGAAUCUCACGCGUUUCUCCCUUUGAUUUUCUUCUGGACCGCUGUCUAGAAGUUCUAGGGUUAGACCGCUAAGUCUACCCCACGUGUUGAUCGUAUUGAUCUUCCGGAAUUACCAAGGGAUUGGGUUUCUGAAGAUUUCUCAACUAGAUAUCCUUCUUAAUUUGGUAGAAGUAUCAGCGUCAAGGCUAGAAGCACACUUUGGUUAAUGUCAGAGUCUCAUUUUACAUCUUCAUGAGCCAACUUCAUUCGGGUAAUUUUGAAUGUUUCAAAUUUUCUAAGAUAAAAAAGACAAUCUAUCUUUCAGGCUAAGAGGUUAGUAAAGAUAUCUGCCAUUGAUCGAUCGUAUCAAUGACUUCAAUUGUGUUCUACCCUUUCUGAACUUAUAGUCCUCCUGAUAAAAUGAUGUUUUAAUCUUCACUGUGGUUUCGCUGCUGGAAUGUAGAAUGGGAUUUCUUACUUAGACAAAUGGCAAACAGUAUUAUACAGAAGAUAGGAAUGUUACUUCAAAGAUUUGCAGACUCUUCUAACUGAUGCUUAUCAAUCCCAGACGCUCUGAGUUGUGCAAUGUGAUGCUCGAGAUUAUUUCUGCUUCUGCAGUUUGAUAGAGCGAUAGUUUGACUGUUUUUUGCUAGCCCGGAUAUUAGAUUGUUUCCGCAAGAAGCUGGCAUUUCCAGAUGUGCUUUUUCGUUCUAGUCUAUCUCUGCAUAACUCUGCAUCACAGUAACCGAAGUUUAUACUCUGAUGGUUUUCUUAUACAUAGGCCCAGGUUAGGAGUUCUUUUCAGAUACUUGAGAGAUUCUGCUUAACUGCUGUUAAAUGAGAUUCUCUAGUUAUCUUAUUGGAAUCGUGGCACGAGAACAGACACUAAAGAGAAUAUCAGGAACCGAGUAGCCAGUCAGAAUAGCAGAAAGAGAGCCUAUAUACCUCGUAUAGAGCUUCUGACAAACCUUGCACUUUACUUCUUCCUUUUCAAGCAAUUGCAUGUUGGAAUGGCAUUGGAGUUUUUUUGCAGAGUUGCAGUCCCGCCAUGCUCAACAUUUUCUUCAGAACAUCUUUAAUAUAUUUUUGCCCUUUGAUGAAGCAUAUGCUAUUCUGAAGUUUGGUUAAUUUGAAUUCCCAGAAAGAACUUUAUUUCUUGCAUUAAGCUCAUUUCAACUUCUGCCUGCAAUUAACUUAGAGAAUUCUUGACAACAGAGGCGUUAACUGGAAACCAAAAAUUCAAUAAUCAUCACGUAUUCUGACAAGUUACUCCUGAGAUCAUUUGUUAAGGUUCUUAACAGAAAAGUGUCGAGUCAACUUUCGCUCUGAUAAAAUUGUUGUUCAGCAAGAAAAAUGCCCUUAAACGUUCAUGACCAAGCUCUGGGAGCUGUUUUAAAGUCAUAUAAAGAUUUUUUAAGUUUUCACAACAUGUUUUCUGGAAAUUUUUGGAAUUUUCAAAACCUGGAGGUUGGUUGACAUACACUUCUUCUGAAUAUGUUAUAGUGUUAUGCGCUCUUGACAUCCAUUUGAUAUAAUUUAAUAGAAUGAUUAAUAGCAAAAGAUACAAGAAGCACGAAUGCACUUCCUACCUUGCGACUACGAGCAAAGGUUUCAUUAUAGUAAUACUUCUUGUUUGACUGUAACCUUGAGCUAUCAGUCCGAGCUUUGUUUCUGACGAUUCUCCUUCUCAUUCCGCUUUGUUUCUGAUACCCAUCUGGUUCGCAACUAACAUGAGUGCCUUUGGGCGUUUGGGAACAGGAUCCCAGACUCCUUCUUUGGUGAAUUGAUCUAAUUCUUCUUGCUGGUGAGCCCGUCGUUUUAUCUUGGCAGUGCUUCAUCACAGGACGUACGGCUCAAUCAGAGACCUAGUCGCUAGAGGAGUAUCCUCAGAGGUCCUGAAGGUAGAUCUGGUUUCUGACAGGGUUCGUCCUUGUUUCCAGAAUCCAAUCUUGCAGAUACGUUUGAGUACGACUUUUUACUUUCUUUGGAUUUCUGGGAAUUUCAAUUUCCUCAGAGUUCUGAGUGACAGUUGCUUCUGGAGCUUUUAUCAGAACCUGCAAGAUAGUGAUUUUCUAAAUUGCAACAUUUUUCAAACUAGCUUUUGACUUUUCAGGGUCAAGCUUAAUCAUCAAUCUGACAUGAAAUUGAUCUCUUCCACAAUUUUGGUUCUCUGUGUUGUACUACUCUGUAGCCUUUAGAGCGUUCUGAGUAUCCUAACAUAAUACCUUUCUGUGCUUUGGAUCCGAACUUGUAUAACCAGCCAUGUUCUCUUGUGUUUACAGAUAGCCAACGAACAUCCCAAGCCGGAUAGACCAAAAUAUGAAAUGUUUGGUCUUUUCCUUCCUUUACUACCCACAGCGUUUCUAAGGGAGUCUUUUCUUCCAGAAUCGGUCUUAAUAGAGAUUCUACUUCUGAAUGUAUACACGCUGUAUUUUCAGCUUCUUGCCAACAAUGCUUUGCCACAUUAGUUUCAUUCGAUCCAUGGGUUCUGGCGCAUCUCUUGGAGUUGUCCCUAUUCUUCCUCUCUACGACUCCAUUUUGUUGUGGAGCUUCUAGGGCAUGAGCAAUAUCAUGGAUAUUCCAUUAGAGUCAAAUAAUUCUUCAAAAUUCUUUGUUUUAUAUAUAAUUUCCACCAUGAUCACUUCUGACUCUAAUAAUUUAGCGUCAAUUCUUUUGCCCUUUUGGAGGCAGAAACUUAGUGAAUACAGAGUGAGACUCCCUCUUGUGCUUAGGAUUUCACCCAUGUCCCGCGACUGUAAUCAUCAAACAUGAACUAGUCCAUUACUUCUUUCCAUUAACUGAUGUUGUUUUCACAGGACCAAAUAAUUCAACUGUGCGAGAGUUUCCCGAGGCUUAGAGGUGAAACAACCAUUUUUCUUUUUAAAGAUGUUUUUGAAAAUUUCCUUUCUGACAUGCUUCACACAGAGCAAUCUGAAGAAAACUUCAGUUUAGGUAGGCCUCUGACUAACUCGAGUUUAUUUAGCUUGAGGAAAGUUUCCUCAUGCUAAUGUGGCCAAGGUCUUAUGCCAUACUCAUUGCUCUUUGUGAACAGACUCAGCAUUUCACAUUUUGUUCUUUUAAAAUCAGAAAGAUUAAUUUUAUAAAUGUUGUUUUUGCCUCUUGCCUGUGAAAGGACAGAGCCAUCGUUCUGAUUAAUGGCUUUAACAUGUUUUUUGAUUAAGAUUUACAUCAUAACCACGUUUAUCCACUUAAUUGCCUUAUGGAUAACUAAGUUAUGCAUCAAUCCUUUACGUAAACGGACAUCAGAUAUAGAGGGAAAGUACCAUUAACCAAUAGCUUUCGCGGAGCCUGCUGAUCCUUCCUUUCUGAUCUCCUCGAAGCCUACCAAAUCCAGCGUCUUUAGUUCGCCGACUUUGGGAAAUAAGACCUUUCCUUCCGUGCAUGUGUCGCGAGCAUCAGAGUCCAGGGUACCCAUACUGGGGUCUGAACUUUGCUGCAUAGGAGUAUCUGCAACAUACACAUCUUAUCUUUCGGUACCCGCCAGAAUCUUUGUGGUCUUUCUGAUUAAGUUUUUCCCCAAGAAGUUUUCUUUAUAACUUUGGGUUUUCUAGAUUUUCAAAAAUUUUUGUUCUUGUGUGUGUGUAUAGUGAUAUGAAAAUGGAGAUUUAAGUUGGUCAUAGUAGAAGUUUUAUUCUUCUUAGGAUCAAUACCCCAAUUCCCUUUUUAUUGUUCUGAUGACUCCUAAAUCAUGGAUGCAUCAUAUCCUACUAUUUCGCUUUUUUUCAGAAAUUUCUUGAAAGGCUUUCUUCGUAUUCAUAAUUAAUUUAUCUUGAAGUUGUGGUGCUUGAGGACAACGCUUCUUCUAAUUCUAAGCCUUUUCUUUUUGCCUUCCAUCCUCUUUUCUAGUGUUAAAGAUGCUGCUUGUAUCAUUCUCGCGCUAGAAUUGUCAUCUCAAGCCUUGCCACAUUCUUCAAAUUUUGCUUUAGAGACCAACCUUUUAUGUUUUUAGCUUUUUUGUUUUAAUCUUCUGAUAUGAGCUUUAAGAGUUCCUGACAAGCAUGAUUUAGUCAAGAUCGAGAGAGUUUAGACAAAUACCUUUCAGAUUCCCUUUCAUCUGAGCGCUCUCUGGAGUGUGGGUAGCCAUAAGUGCCACGUUGGGCCCCUUUUCAUCAGAGUCAUGCCCUUCUGAUGACACCAGAUUCACUCAUCCAAUCCCAGGUAGCCUUAAUCCUUUUCUUUGUCCUGAAGGUAUUUUCUUGAAGCUUUCUUUUUCUAGAUUAUCUUUUUUUAGUUGGGGCAUUCAUUCCUGUAGUGACCUGUUUCUUUACAUUCAUAACAAAAAAAGGUUUUUUAUAUCUUUUGUUAGUUUUUACCUUUUGAGGUUAUUCUGCUCGUCCCCUUCUGGGUCCUUAGUCUUCUGAGUUGUUGUUCCUCUUUUUCCAGAGUUGUUUAAUCUUCUGCGUCAGCAGGGACAAUUUUCUUCAUCAUCAGAAUCUUUCUGGUUCAGAGUCAUCAGUAUCUAUCAGUUUUUGCCUGGCAGAGCUUUUUGGUUCUGUCAGGUUUUGGCGUCUUUCAUAUUGGACUUUAAUGCUACGGACUUAUUCCUUUUCCUGAAGGCUCAAAUCUUCCUCUAGUUCUAUGUUAUGGCUUCUUGAGGGAACUCGAACAAGUUCUCAAGACUUAUCUUUGUUCAGAUCUUUUGACAUCGCUUCAGNCAGAUGUAGGUCAUGUUGGACUGAACUGGGUAAACAAUUACUUGUGUUAUUUACUGCACUUACUUUUAAGUUCUGCAUAAUUCCUGUCUGUGCAGAAUUGGAUGUCAUAACAACCCGUGUGACAUCCAAAGUCUGAUAACUAGAAUUUCAUUCGUCAGUCUGCAUACUGAACAUCGGAAUAUGAGAGUAUUAAUGUCGGUCCGAAUACCGAGAGAUUGGCCUGAACGCCACUUUGGUCUGAACACCACUUUGGUCUGAACACCACUUCGAUCUGGAUACCGGGAAAUUGGCCUGACUGCUGCAAGCUGCAUCGAUCUGAACUUCGGAAGCUUCUUCGACCUGAGUAUCGGAAAAUUGGCCUGAGUGCCGUAUCGGUCUGAAUACCCGCCUCGGUCUGAAUACCGGAAGAUUGGCUUGGAUGCCGCAAGUACUUCAACCUGAUUGUUGGAAACUUCUUCGAUCUGAAAAUCGGAACUGGCCUGAAUGCCACAAGUUCUUUGACCUGAUCGUCGGAAACUUCUUUGAUCUGAAAAUCGGAAACCGGCCUGAGUGCCACAAGUUCUUCAACCUGAUCGUUGGAAACUUCUUGGAUCUGAAAAUCGGAACUUUGGUCUGAAUACCUACCUCGGUCUGAGCACCGGAAAACUUCCAUGCCUGUCAGCGUCGGCAAAAAGGAAUAGUGAUACAUGAGACGACACGCAUGCCAACGACCCAUGCUGGGGAUAGCAAGCCACGAACCGACUAUUCUCUAUUCAACCCUAGCCAACGAACAUUUUGCGUUUAGCUGGGGAUUAUUCUUUCUCUUUUUUACUUUUUGCUUUUUGAACCCCGAAACUUCUUGGAUUAUCAUUCCAUCUCCGCCCGACAGAAGUCUUUCCUCCAAUAUCGCGCUACUGGGGAAUACCCUUGAUUCAGAAUCAUGAUACCAAACUCCUCAGAGUAACAUCUUCACCUUCUGGCGAAACCACUGUCAUACCCCAAUUUUGUCCGGACAUUUUAAAUUUUCAUAAAUUCGAUUUAAUUUUCAGUUUACAUCAUAUGUACAGCAUAACAUGCAUUUUAUCAUUAAUAAUACCUGAAAUACCAGUCAGGAUAAAUUUAUUGAAAAUACAGACAGAUCGGUUGAAUCGUUCCUCAAGUACGGACAAAAUCAGCGGAUAAAAAGUUUCAAAAUUAAAAUUACAGACACCAGUAUUAUUAAUCUACAGUUCACGUAGUUUAACCUGGUGUGCUCGUUGUUUAUUUUAGCGAAUGUUUCGGUUGCAUUUUGACCCGUCUGAGCCUUUUAACCGGUGAAAAUUUAUUUCAAAAUUUAAAGAAACGUUGUAUUUUUUCAAUAAGUAUAUUUUGUGCUGAUCAUUUUAGUGUGUCUGAUUUAAAUUUUCGAGCAAAUUUUCAUCCGACUUCUGUUUAUAAUCGAUCCUUUUAUUUCUUUGUUCUAGUUUUCAAAUUAGAGAUUGUUUUAUUAUUAUUAUUACUUAAAUGAAAUUGUUGUUUAGGAAUUUUUAGUAAAUGUUUUUAUAAUAGAUAAUAAUAAUUGUUAACAAAAUAGAUAAAUUUAAUAGCAUUGGAUUCUUUGUAGUGUUUUUUUUUACUGCUGGUACCACUCUAACGGUAAUAAAAAUGCCAGCUUGCAUCUAACUCUCCCAACGGUAACAUACCACUCACACAUACUCUUCAAUAAAAAAAGCUACCUCUCUUCUCUCUAGCCCACUCACCUGACUCCUCAAUAAUUCUCACUACUACUCUCUCCACUAAAAAAAGAGAACAAAAAUAAAAAAUAAAAAAAGGAUCUUUCCUCUUCUUCUUCACUCACCGGAAACGCCAUCAUCACCUCCGUCAACACUUUAAUAACGCAACCUCUAAUUUCCUCCAGCCACGGAACGACUCCUCCACCUUUCUCUCACACCACGACAAAACCGCUCGAUAACCACGCCACCGUCGCUACGUUUUUCCGAUGACAACACCGUUGCAUCUGCAACCACAAAUCCGCCAUUGUUCAGCCACCCUUCAUCGUUCUCCCUCCGAUAUGCACUCCGUCUUCAACCUAACUUAACUUUCUUCCACCGUAUCGCCGUUGUGUUUGUUCAUUCUCCAUCUUCACGGAGACACACCCCGCCUUUAUUUCUGUUGCAUCACUCAACAAUGUUUCAAUACCGCGAGCAACACACAAACUCCGACUCUGUUUUGUUUCUUCUGGUAGUGGUAUCAUUCUUACCAUGAUUCUCUUCUGCACUUCCAUUAUUUACUAUUUUGUUUUCUUGUUGGUGUUUUAACUGGAUAUUUUUGCUGCCAUUCAUAUGAGUAUAAAUGCUUAAGUUUGUUAUGUUUGUAACUUGUUAAUUUUAUUUGAAGAUAAUAAACAGUGUACCUACAUGGAACACGUUUUGUUUACAUGAAGUUUCCUUUUUGCUGUCCUGUAACAUUCAACUUUUAAAUUUCAACGUUUCACCUUUUCUUUUUAUUAUUUCAUUCUUACUUUUUUUAUUAUGGAGAUGUGGAGAAUUGCCAAUAUUUUCUUUUGUGCUUCAUUUGAUUUUGUUUCAAGCCCAUAUGGCUACACCCCAUAGUCAAAUUAACACCCAUCUCAUAUUGUUGAUUCAAACACGGCAAUUAGCAGCAUAUGGUGGUAGCACAGUAAACUAGCCUAUUGAUAUUCUUUAGAUUUUAUGCUUUAUUUCUACUGUAUUGCUAGAAUAAAGGUGUGUUUCCAUCUUAUUGCUUUUAGUUGCAAUGGUAAAAUUAGAAAAUAUUUCAAUGAUGAAAUGACCAAAAUAAAGGUGCUUGAAAUUUGAUCUAACAUUUACUGGUUUUUGGUUUAGUAGAUUUACAAAUAGUUUAGUAUAUAAUUUAUGUUCUAAGCAUGUAAAAUGAGAAUCUCAUGUUUUUCUUCGUUAUUAAUUGAUUGCUUAAUUGAUUUUGAUUAUGAUUAAUUAAUUAAUUUUUUUACUAUAACUUAAUUAAUUGAUAGUUUAAUUUAAA
rnacentral:lncRNA from 1 species